rnacentral:sRNA from 1 species
CUCGAGCGAAGCGAGAGAACGUUGCGUCAGCAACGGACCGCAGGGCGAGCCACAAAGUGGCGAGUCAUCCUCUAUCACCGACCA